GUCGUGGUAGCUCAGUGGUAGAGCAUCGAACGCGCCAUUCGAAGGUCGCAGGUUCGAUCCUGCCCACGGCA
rnacentral:tRNA from 1 species